rnacentral:rRNA from 1 species
UACGUAGGGGGCUAGCGUUGUCCGGAUUUAUUGGGCGUAAAGAGCGUGUAGGCGGCCAGGUAGGUCCGGUGUGAAAACUCGAGGCUUAACCUCGAGAUGUCAUCGGAAACGAUCUGGCUAGAGUCCGGAAGAGGAGAGUGGAAUUCCUGGUGUAGCGGUGAAAUGCGCAGAUAUCAGGAAGAACACCAAUGGCGAAGGCAGCUCUCUGGGACGGUACUGACGCUGAGACGCGAAAGCGUGGGGAGCGAACAGG